GACGAACGCUGGCGGCGUGCUUAACACAUGCAAGUCGAACGGAAAGGCCCUGCUGUUGUGGGGUGCUCGAGUGGCGAACGGGUGAGUAACACGUGAGUAACCUGCCCUUGACUUUGGGAUAACUUCAGGAAACUGGGGCUAAUACCGGAUAGGAGCUCCUGCUGCAUGGUGGGGGUUGGAAAGUUUCGGCGGUUGGGGAUGGACUCGCGGCUUAUCAGCUUGUUGGUGGGGUAGUGGCUUACCAAGGCUUUGACGGGUGGCCGGCCUGAGAGGGUGACCGGCCACAUUGGGACUGAGAUACGGCCCAGACCCCUACGGGAGGCAGCAGUGGGGGUUAUUGCACAAGGGGCGGAAGCCGGAUCCAGCAACGCCGCGUGCGGGAUGACGGCCUUCGGGUUGUAAACCGCUUUCGCCUGUGACGAAGCGUGAGUGACGGUAAUGGGUAAAGAAGCACCGGCUAACUACGUG
rnacentral:rRNA from 1 species